AACGUACGCUGGCGGCACGCCUAACACAUGCAAGUCGAACGAAGUAGCAAUACUUAGUGGCAGACGGGUGAGUAACAUGUGGGUAUCUGCCCUUUGGCCUGGAAUAACACGAGGAAACUUGUGCUAAUACCGGAUAAGUCUUUACGGAGAAAGCUUUAUGCACCAUUGGAUGAGCCCGCACUUGAUUAGUUUGUUGGUGAGGUAAUGGCCUACCAAGACUGUGAUCAAUAGCUGAUUUGAGAGGAUGAUCAGCCACAUUGGGACUGAGACACGGCCCAAACUCCUACGGGAGGCAGCAGUGGGGAAUCUUGCACAAUGGAGGAAACUCUGAUGCAGCGAUGCCGCGUGAGUGAAGAAGGCCCUUGGGUUGUAAAGCUCUUUCGUCGGGGAAGAAAAUGACUGUACCCGAAUAAGAAGGUCCGGCUAACUUCGUGCCAGCAGCCGCGGUAAUACGAAGGGACCUAGCGUAGUUCGGAAUUACUGGGCUUAAAGAGUUCGUAGGUGGUUGAAAAAGUUAGUGGUGAAAUCCCAGAGCUUAACUCUGGAACUGCCAUUAAAACUUUUCAGCUAGAGUAUGAUAGAGGAAAGCAGAAUUUCUAGUGUAGAGGUGAAAUUCGUAGAUAUUAGAAAGAAUACCAAUUGCGAAGGCAGCUUUCUGGAUCAUUACUGACACUGAGGAACGAAAGCAUGGGUAGCGAAGAGGAUUAGAUACCCUCGUAGUCCAUGCCGUAAACGAUGUGUGUUAGACGUUGGAAAUUUAUUUUCAGUGUCGCAGCGAAAGCGAUAAACACACCGCCUGGGGAGUACGACCGCAAGGUUAAAACUCAAAUGAAUUGACGGGGACCCGCACAAGUAGUGGAGCAUGUGGUUUAAUUCGAAGAUACGCGCAGAACCUUACCAACACUUGACAUGUUCGUCGUGACUUUAAGAGAUUAGAGUUUUCGGUUCGGCCGGACGAAACACAGGUGCUGCAUGGCUGUCGUCAGCUCGUGUCGUGAGAUGUUGGGUUAAGUCCCGCAACGAGCGCAACCCUCACUUUUAGUUGCCAUCAUUAAGUUGGGCACUCUGAAAGAACUGCCAGUGAUAAGCUGGAGGAAGGUGGGGAUGACGUCAAGUCCUCAUGGCCCUUACGUGUUGGGCUACACACGUGCUACAAUGGUAUCUACAACAGGAAGCAAGACUGCGAGGUCAAGCAAAUCCUUAAAAGAUACCUCAGUUCGGAUUGCACUCUGCAACUCGAGUGCAUGAAGCUGGAAUUACUAGUAAUCGUGGAUCAGCGUGCCACGGUGAAUGCGUUCCCGGGUCU
rnacentral:rRNA from 1 species